rnacentral:rRNA from 1 species
GGACUACUCGGGUAUCUAAUCCUGUUUGCUCCCCUAGCUUUCGUUCCUCAGCGUCAGUAGUGGUCCAGCCAGCCGCCUUCGCCACGGGUGUUCCUGCAGAUAUCUACGCAUUUCACCGCUACACCUGCAAUUCCACUGGCCUCUCCCACACUCGAGCACGGCAGUUUCGGAAGCAGCCUCUGAGUUAAGCCCAGAGAUUUCACUCCCGACACACCGCACCGCCUACGAACCCUUUACGCCCAGUAAUUCCGAGCAACGCUGGCCCCCUACGUCUUACCGCGGCUGCUGGCAC